AGAGUUUGAUCAUGGCUCAGAUUGAACGCUGGCGGCAGGCCUAACACAUGCAAGUCGAACGGUAACAGGAAGCAGCUUGCUGCUUCGCUGACGAGUGGCGGACGGGUGAGUAAUGUCUGGGAAACUGCCUGAUGGAGGGGGAUAACUACUGGAAACGGUAGCUAAUACCGCAUAACGUCGCAAGACCAAAGAGGGGGACCUUCGGGCCUCUUGCCAUCGGAUGUGCCCAGAUGGGAUUAGCUAGUAGGUGGGGUAACGGCUCACCUAGGCGACGAUCCCUAGCUGGUCUGAGAGGAUGACCAGCCACACUGGAACUGAGACACGGUCCAGACUCCUACGGGAGGCAGCAGUGGGGAAUAUUGCACAAUGGGCGCAAGCCUGAUGCAGCCAUGCCGCGUGUAUGAAGAAGGUCCGUUCGGGUUAGUAAAGUACUUUCAGGCGGGGAGGAAGGGAGUAAAGUUAAUACCUUUGCUCAUUGACGUUACCCGCAGAAGAAGCACCGGCUAACUCCGUGCCAGCAGCCGCGGUAAUACGGAGGGUGCAAGCGUUAAUCGGAAUUACGUGGGCGUAAAGCGCACGCAGGCGGUUUGUUAAGUCAGAUGUGAAAUCCCCGGGCUCAACCUGGGAACUGCAUCUGAUACUGGCAAGCUUGAGUCUCGUAGAGGGGGGUAGAAUUCCAGGUGUAGCGGUGAAAUGCGUAGAGAUCUGGAGGAAUACCGGUGGCGAAGGCGGCCCCCUGGACGAAGACUGACGCUCAGGUGCGAAAGCGUGGGGAGCAAACAGGAUUAGAUACCCUGGUAGUCCACGCCGUAAACGAUGUCGACUUGGAGGUUGUGCCCUUGAGGCGUGGCUUCCGGAGCUAACGCGUUAAGUCGACCGCCUGGGGAGUACGGCCGCAAGGUUAAAACUCAAAUGAAUUGACGGGGGCCCGCACAAGCGGUGGAGCAUGUGGUUUAAUUCGAUGCAACGCGAAGAACCUUACCUGGUCUUGACAUCCACGGAAGUUUUCAGAGAUGAGAAUGUGCCUUCGGGAACCGUGAGACAGGUGCUGCAUGGCUGUCGUCAGCUCGUGUUGUGAAAUGUUGGGUUAAGUCCCGCAACGAGCGCAACCCUUAUCCUUUGUUGCCAGCGGUCCGGCCGGGAACUCAAAGGAGACUGCCAGUGAUAAACUGGAGGAAGGUGGGGAUGAUGUCAAGUCAUCAUGGCCCUUACGACCAGGGCUACACACGUGCUACAAUGGCGCAUACAAAGAGAAGCGACCUCGCGAGAGCAAGCGGACCUCAUAAAGUGCGUCGUAGUCCGGAUUGGAGUCUGCAACUCGACUCCAUGAAGUCGGAAUCGCUAGUAAUCGUGGAUCAGAAUGCCACGGUGAAUACGUUCCCGGGCCUUGUACACACCGCCCGUCACACCAUGGGAGUGGGUUGCAAAAGAAGUAGGUAGCUUAACCUUCGGGAGGGCGCUUACCACUUUGUGAUUCAUGACUGGGGUGAAGUCGUAACAAGGUAACCGUAGGGGAACCUGCGGUUGGAUCACCU
rnacentral:rRNA from 1 species